ACCAGUUUGACCUUGUCAACAAAGACAAGGUAUAAGCAGAGAGGCAACGAUCCUGAGGGUGUCCUCUACCCAGUCUAGGUGGGGGUUUUCAAAUGGUCUUCUCAUUCUUGUGUCUUGCCGUGAAAAACAGCACAAAACUGAACCACCACCCCAGAGUUUGCCUUUAGGACUUGAGGUUCAAACAGGAGGACUGUAGGCUGGCAGGGAGCCACAUGCCCAGCACCCUUUUCCUGUUGUCUGUCCUUUUUAAGGAC